GGAGAUGAAGUCCGGGCCGCCCGGGAAAAGGCCUCUGAGGCGGAGUCAGUGAAGUAAGAGGUAGAGGACCAGCUGAUGAGGGCCAAUGCUGAUGUUGAGAGGCUGAAGUAGGAGCUGCACGAAACUGAGUGCCAAGUGGCUGCUCUGAUGAGGCGAAUUGAUCAUGCCAACGAGUACCACCGCCUGGCUAUUUUAGCUCUGGAGGCCUCCAAUAAGGAAAAGGCUGAGUUGAAGCAGCGGGCGGAGGC
rnacentral:lncRNA from 1 species